CUUUACGUCAUAUUGCAUGUGUUUUCUUUACCAAAUAUGGGAUUAAGUAAACACAGCCAUAUGCUGUUACACUACUUGUGACAAUUUUAUGUUAUCGGAUAUUAUGUUUAUGGGAAUCAGAUAUGCAGCCGUCACAGCCUGCUGAUGAAGUUCCUCAGCUUAUACAGAGGUCAGGCUUGAGCUAAGUGCUGAUUCAAAAGAUGCUAAUGACAGUGGAUAAUCCAUUCUGAGUUGUUCUAUGACCAUUCACCAAUGUUUCAAAACACUGAUGGAACUGAAAGCAGUACAUGUACUGGUGUCUGGCCUGUGAUUUCAAGUAUAAUUGAUGUACCUCCUCCUGAUGUACCUCCUUGAAUACAAUACAUCUGCCAUGUGAAAGGAACAAACUGCAAGAUAUACUGUGGAAGUGGGGGACUAUGUA
rnacentral:lncRNA from 1 species